GCAACAGGGAUAUUCUAGCAUUAGUUCUGAAUAAGGUUGUGGUUUUGAUCACUUAAAUGGCUGUGACUUUUGGACUCUCUUUGAGUGUUUCUUGGAUUUGUUGCCUGCUAAUUGGAGGGAUAACGCGUUUUACCCUUCAAGGUGAUGCUUAUGGGCAUCCUGCCUACACUGGACCUGAACCAACUGGAUCCCAAGCAAGUGUGGUGUCUGGUCCAAAUGCUAAAGCUACUGGCCACAAUACCCUGGCAAGUGUGACGCCGGGUCCAACUGCCAACCAUGCAUCGUGUCACGAACCGGCUCAAAGCCCGUAACAAAAGGGAGACAACGUGGAGAUAAGGAGUAACAAAAGAU